rnacentral:lncRNA from 1 species
AUAAUAGAAUAGUUUCAAAUUCAAACAAAAGCAGAAAAAAUCGGUCAGUACUUUUUUCCAGCAAAGUAAAUAACCAAAGUAAAGUAAUUUACCUUCUCCACACAUACUUCGACAGAGAAAAUUGAAGGAACGAUCUGAAAACAGUCUUUAAUUUGUAAGUGUUUGUUGAUUUUAUAUUAUUUUUUACCUGGCUUUAUAACUAAUAUAUCAUUUAAUAUAUAUUUUAGAUCUGCCAUGCUACAUCAGACUAAGGCCGUGUUCACACCAAACGCCGUGUACAGUAAACAUGUUUACCUUUGGUUUAAUGUAAAGUACACUAGUUUCACAUUUAAGUUGUUUACAUCUAUACACUUUGUUAAGUUACCUGUACAUAAGAUUUGUUCACACUUGUAAACUAUAUAUCAUUUAAAUGUUCAAUACGUAAAACCGAAUUCAAGUUUUCGAAGAAUUUUUCUAGCAGUUAGGGAACGACCAUUUGACUUUAAGAAGAGGGGGGGGUGGAUUUUUCCACAGUUUGAUUUAAAAAAAGAAUCGGGUCUAACAGAUGAUUAGAAUGAACAAAUAUUCUGAAUCCAAAGUUUCCCGAUACAUUAUAGUGUUAAUAUUGAAUUACAUCGAAAAAAAAAUGAAUAUAAAUUUACGCGCGACACAAAAUCUGACUCGGAACCCCCCCUUUUUUUAAAGUAAAAUAGUUGCUCCUUUAAAAAAGUCAUUUUGGUUAAUUUGUAGUAGUUUAAAGAUGUCUCGAUUACGCAUUAAAAACGUAGGCUGCAUCAGAAUGCUUACAGACGAUGAAAAAGAAUUGCGAUGUAAAGGAUCACUACAUUUCUAUCUUUUUUGUUUGUUUCAAAUGGCAUUUUUUCUCCAAAGUGUAUUUGGUAAAGGGAGGGGUAAUGUUGUUUUUUAUUUUUUCUGAUUGUAUUUUAACGGAUCUGAGAUACUUCACAAACAAACAUUUAACCUCGACCUUUUGCAGUAAUACAUUCAUGAGUGAAUCGUGGUUUGAGUAAAGACCAGUGGCAAAAUAUUCUGUCAAUGUGUACGUCCAGUCGCUUCGAGAAGACCUUUUCAAAUGAAUUAUGUGUUCGGCAAUGAUGAUGGAUGAGUCCUGAUUAGAGAUUAAUAAGGCUACGUAAAGUGGUUUUUAUAUCAAAUAAAUAUAUCAAGUUCAGACAAAUAUUUCUGUAAAGAACUUUAUUAAUAAGUGUUAUAAGUAUCAAUUUUAUAUAAAAAUCGUUUUUUUUCAAAUAUACAUGAGAAAAUUAAAGUUCUGAAUGCCUAGUUUUGAGUACACUUAACCUACACAAGGCCUACAUCAACUAUCGACUGUAUGUAGACAAAACAUGAUUUAAACUACAUGUAAACAUUGCGUUUUAUCAAUGAGAACGUAAUUAUGUUUAGUUUAUGUGUGGAUUACACUAACACCGAUUUUAGGUCAAUGUGAACACGACCUAAGAAAAAAGUUUCUGACCUUUUUGUUUACCUUAGCUGUAUUUAGCACCACUUUUGGGAAUUUUUGAUUCUCGAUGAUCUUCAACUUCGUACUAUACUUGGCAUUUUAAACGGUUUUCGAUUCGAGCGUCACUAAUGAGUCUUUUGUAGAAGAAACGCGCGUCUUACGCAAAUUCAAAAAUUGAAAUCAUGAUAUCUAUUUCUUCAUAUACAUGGAUAUUUAGAAUAUUUUGGACUUUUAAUAAUUCAUCACAUAUCUUAACGUCUAUCUUCUUAGACAAAUCAACUGGACUUAACAUACACAAAUCGUCGUUUGGUUGUUAUAACGUUCUAUGUCGAUGCUUGAUCAAAAUGAAGAUAUUUUUAUAUUUGAAAUCCAAAUUGUACAACUAUAAAAUGAAACUACAUUCUAUGACUUUAUAUCAGAACAAUACUGAUUGGACAUUGUACAUUCAGUAAUCAAUAAUUCUAUUAUGUUUUAUUAUCAGAUGUCACUGCUAUAAAAACAAUUGCUAUCAAAAUUAUCUCAGUACUAUGCAUUAGAAUUAUCUUACCUCAAUCGUUGAGUCAUAUUUAGCCAAUCCAGCACUGUUUUUUGCGAUUUGGUCGGGUCGUUGUCUCUUUGACACAUUACACAUUUUCAUUCUCAAUUUCAUUACAGAAUUUGAAAUAACUCAGAAUUAAACAAAACCAUUGAUAAAAAUUGGAAAUAUCAUUGAAUGAGGUUAAGAAAAAAAAUAUGUAGAAACUUUAUUUUCAUUUGGUUCCUGAAUAAAACAAAACAAUUUUAAUAAGCUGUCUGUGGAUAGAACACUGCAAUGUUCAAUGUGUACAAUUUUAUUACAUUUAGAAAAAUAGGAUUUACAUAACCAGAACAUUCAACCGACUCAUUUCUUAAUGAUAUUUGCAUUUAUACGGAUACUGAACAUGUUCAUGCAGGUAAUAGCGAGAAAAAUAUGUAUAAUGAGAGACAGUGUUAAGUUGAAAUGUUUAAUAUUUUGUUUUUCAUGAUUUUACUGCAAAAAGUGCAAUUCUUAUGACUUGUUUAGUACUAUAACUGCACUUACACUGUGAAUAAGAAACGAUUUGGCAUUUUAUUUGCUUUAAACAUUUGUAUGACUAUUUGACUGAGUUUAAAAUUUAUCACCCAUUCAUUCUGGUUUUAAACAUAAUCCUUCAAUUUAAAUGUCCCGCAUUAAUAUUAUUUAUAGAUGACUACACGAAAUUAAUAAUGAAAAUAUCGAUAUGACAGUUCUCCUGGAUUAUAUAUAUAUUUUUUUAUUAUUAUUUUUUGCUUGUGAAGUUUUAAAUAAAAGAAAUCCAUCAAAUUCAUUGGUCCUGUUUUAUCAAUUUUGUACAUAAAUUACCUUUCAUUAUAUUAAUUCAUAAAAAAGUGAAAUACAGACGUGUAUGCUGAUGACACAACUAUGCAUACACCAGGGAAGAGUAUUGCAGGUAUGCAGAUACAUGUACAUGAUGUUGAUAAAUAGUGCAUUAAAUAACAUGUUCAUAAAUUUGCGUAAAACUAAAUGUAUGGUUAUUGUUACAAGACAAAGGCUGAGUUUCCAUCAAGCAAAACCAUUUCUAACUUUUCUGAAUAAUAUUCUACAAAAAUCAUAUAUUGAAAAACAUUUAAGUGUUAUAAUUGACUGUUAUCUGCCAUAUUAUUUACUUAUGGUCAUCAAUAUCAUCUAGAAUUCAUUUUAUUUCUUAGAUCAAGACAUUUCUAAAUAUUGAUUCAAGAAAUUAUUUUUAUAAUGGUUAUAACCUCCCACUGAUAGAUUAUUGUUGUAUUAUUUGGAGUAGUUUUGCUAAAAUGAGCUAGUAAUAAUUAUAAAAUUUGAUAAAAGCAAGAGCAGCAAGAAGAUAACAGGGAAAGUGAAGAUGUUGAAAGUGACUCUAUUGAAAGUUAUGAUCUAAAUGAGGAAGUAGGUGAUGAAAGUAAGGAUUUCAUUGACGACGGGCGUAUAAAAAUGGCAAAAAAGACUACAAUGACAAUGAGGAGCAGCAAGAAUAUAACAGGGAAAGUGAAGAUGGUGAAAGUGAUUCUACUGAAAGUUAUGAUCUAAAUGAGGAAGUAGGUGAUGAAAGUAAGGAUUUCAUUGAUGAUGAAGAUAAAGAUUUCAUUGAUGAUGAAAGGCCUCUCCGAGAAUGAAAAUGAGGAUUUUUCUGAUGAUGAGGACAGUGAUUACAGUGAAGAAGACACUGAUGAUUAAACCUAGUUUAGCUUUUCAAUAUUUAGCCAAAAAACAACAAAUAUCAUUAACAUUGGCAUAUAACAUAGAAGUCUUCAAUGCAAUAUAAGGAAAGUGAUAUAUGAUUAUGGGUUUUAGUAAUUCUAUGGCUGAUUUCCAAAUUUUAUAGUAGUUUGGAAGAAGGUAAUUUUCUUGGGGUAUAUUGCUCAUUAUAUUGCAUCAUGAUAUAUGGUAUAUAAUGAUUAUUACAUUUUUAUUGUUUAGAAUAUUCACAAGAUGAUCAUAUUGAUAAAUGUUUAGGAGACUUGAUUUCCUUAUUUUUUUCAUAAAAUGACGCCCUUUAACAUUUAAGGAAUAUUUAGUCACAUGUUAGGAUUUUCAUGUUGUCACUUGUUCACUUAUUAUGUGCUAUUGUAGACUAGUUAUGUUUUAUAACAUUUUUGAUUGCGCUCAACCCUUCCACCGAAACCGAACUCUAUAAAAAAAAAAGCUGCAAUGCUAAGGUAUCAUUUGUGAUUUCAAUUGCAACCAAUUUUAACAAGGGUAAAACAUCCUAUAUGCAAAAACAGUAUUUGAUUUUUAUCUAUAGCUUAGAUAGUAAAAAUGUUAACAUAAAAUGAUAUAUGCCUCAGGGAACAGUUAGUAUCUCAGGGACUGCUAAUGUGCUUUCAUCCUUGCAACCAUUCAAUAAUAGUACAAACGUAUGACAUUCAUGGAACCUAUUUUUUACAAGAAAUUUAAUGUUUUAAAUUGAACUAAAGAUUUUACAAAUUUUAUGUUUACAUCAGAUUUUAUUAAGUAUUAUUUGUUACAUCAAUAGAUAUAAACAAUUCACCAAAGUUUCAUGGACAUUGGUGAAAGCCUUUUUGAGUUAUUGUCCGAAGUGUUAAAAAUCCCCCUUUUUUAUGAAUAAAGCGCCAUAGAUCCAAAACUUAAAAUCUGAAAUUUAUAAAAAUUGAAAGGGAGCUUACAUCAAUAGAUAUAAACAAUUCACCAAAGUUUCAUGGACAUUGGUGAAAGCCUUUUUGGGUUAUUGUCCGAAGUUUUAAAAAUCCCCCUUUUUUAUGAAUAAAGCCCCAUUAAUCCAAAAGUUAAAAUCUGAAAUUUAUAAAAAUUGAAAGGGAGCUUACAUCAAUAGAUAUAAACAAUUUACCAAAGUUUCAUGGACAUUGGUGAAAGCCUUUUUUGGGUUAUUGUCCGAAGUGUUGAAAAUCCCCCCUUUUUUAUGAAUAAAGCCCCAUAAAUCCGAAACUUAAAAACUGAAAUUAAAAAAAAAACGAAAGGGAGCUUACGUCAAUAGAUAUAAACAAUUCAUUUAAGUUUCAUGGAAAUUGGUGAAAGUGUUUUUGAGUUAUUGUCAAAAGUGUGGACGACGGACGGACAGACGGACGGACGGACGGAAGGACAAACGUAUACCAUAAUAAGACGGGCGUAUAAAAAGAGGGAGAUUACAAUUAUUUAAAUGUGAUUUUGAAUAUAGGACAUUUUGCUUUCCAAACUAUUUCUUCAUAGUGAAAUUUAAUCAAUUAUGAUGAAGGUUAUAUAUUCGGCAAUCCCUAAGCUGGUAAAUUUAUCAUACAUUAUUAUUAUCAUUUAGGUGAUCCUCUGCAAGAUGAAAAUAGUCAAGAUCCUGUGUGCGACAUUCAUGAUUGUAUUAUCAGUUUUAGCUGGAACAGUAAGUGGAAAGCCACCAAACGGAAGACUUGAAUUUAACAGAGUGAAAAGAGAUGUUAAUGAAAACACUUUGGAUAGAAUCGUGAGAUAACUGGUAAGAAGAAAAAAGAAUGAGUAUUUCUUAUAUUGAGUUUUUAGAUUAUUCUUAAAACUACUACUACUACUACGACUUAUAUAAGAACAACAACAGCAAUUUCUACUACUACUACUACUACUACUACUCCUAUUACUACUACUACUGCUACUACUACUUAUAUAAGAACAACAACAGCAAUUUCUCCUUCUACUACUCCUCUUACUCCUCCUCAUACUACUACUACUACUACUACUACUACUACUACUAAUCAUAAUAAAAAUAAUCAUCAUAAUUGUAUUUUUCAGGUGAAAAGAGAUUAGAUGGUCUGUGGUACCAUAAACUGGAUCUUUCAUCCACGAAACUGAACAAAAUAGAUUUGUAGUUGGUCUCUUAAUUAGUUUUCAUUUCAUCUUUAGUGAUACUUUUGUUUAUUUAGGCUAAUGAACAGUAAAUGGACUAUGUCGUAGAUUUUUCUGAAAUUUUGCAUUGAAAUUUAACUCGUUGAACUACACAUGAAAAUCGGAAAUCGAAAAGAUAAUGCAUUUCUCUCUUAUAUUUUCUGAAAUAUCAUACAUUAAUUUCUUUCAAUAAAACCGACAACUACAAAAUAGACAAUUAAUGAAAUGACUAAAAAGCGCACACCCUAAAACAAACACCGGAAGGGUAAGUAUAUCAUUUUCCACAUGUGGCACUAAUUGUGUUAUACGUGAAAGUACAAAUUUUGAGAUCGGUCUCAUUAUUGUCGUUAAAUUAUCAUUUGUUAAAUAGAUCUCAGAUAACGGUCAAUCAACGCAAGCUGGAUUCCGUAAUACAUUCAAAGAGAUGACUUCAUGUUUUAAACUUUGAACCCCUGAUUUAAUACAAACAUCGAUAUAGGAAAUCAUGUAAGAAACACAAUCUCUGGAAUAUCGUUUUAGUUUGGAGAUACAAAUGUAUAUACUCCACAUGUAAACGUAAAACUACAAAAUUGAAAACUGAAAUGCUCUCUUAAUCGUAAAGUUCUGUCAUUAACAGACCCUUAUCAUCACUAAAACUUUCAAUGAUUAGACAAACUCAUAUCGAAUAUAUAAAAAGAGCUAUACAAGACCAUAUAAUGAAGUAAUGUUAAAAAAUUUAAAGAAGGAAAUAAACUCUUCUAAUUUAUACACCAAACAAUACACAUAGAAUAAUUAUGGCAGACAUAUACCAAGACAACCACAGGCUUGAAGCCUUGGAUAGGCACACUAACAAUAUUGUUACAGGUUAAUGUUUUCAAUUUAUCAUUUCCCAUAGGGUCCUUUGUUAAACUAAGUUCCCCAUUGGCAGCCAUCUUGGUUGAUGGAUUGGUUUCAAUAUAAACACACAUGGUAAGCACAUCACAACGAACAUUUAUGCUAUGUUUAGUUUACUCUAUUCAGUGGUUCUUUAAACACAAACAUUUGUAUGUAUUGUCUAAUAGGUCUUAUGUUAAAAUAAGUGCCCCACUGGCAGCAAUCGUUGAUGAUUAAACGCCAACAAAGUAAUAACACUUGGUCAGGACCUCUUAAGGAACAUUCAUGCAAUGUUUGGUUUCAUUCACUUCGGUGAUUCUCUAAAAGAAGACAUGUGUAUGUAUUUCCAAUAGGGUUCUAUGUUAAACUAAGUCCCCCUUUGUGGCCAUCUUUGAUAAUGGAUCGGCUUCAAAGAUGGCUAUAUAGUUAAGCAUGAUAGCAGUUGCUUUAAAACAACGUAAUGCAUUAUCCAGCUGGUUUGCGAACUGUUUCCAAAUCACAAUUUAAAAAAAAUCCUAGACCAAAUAUUUUAUCAUUCCUUAUUAUGGAAUCAAGAGUAAAAUAUACUCAACAUUACAGACAGAUAUAUGAACAGAUAAAAGAAUGAGCAGACAGAUAAAGGUCAAUGCAGUUUGCAAAAACAUUAAUUGUUGAUUGUUUUAAAUGGUUUUAUAUUUUUCUUAACAUAAAAUAUAUUUCUAAUAUAAAAAAUAACAUAAAGAAAGGUAAAAUAAGCAUUAUUGAUGUCCCAUAAAUACAAAUUCAUGAAAUAGUAUUAUAAUUCAAGUUCACAAUCCUUUUUAAUGUAAUUAGAAUCAUGAAUGAAACAACUUAGAGUACAUGCUACCAUGAGCAUUCUGUAUCAUGUCUAGAACAAGAAAAACAAUGCAAGCUUCUUCUAUAGUCCUGUACCAGUAUCUGUAAUAUAAACAAAAAAAUAGUAUUUUAAAUGAUCUCUAUAACGGGAAUACAAUGUAUGCGUUCAUUAUAUGAAAUGUCUACUGACUUCUGUAAAUAAAAACGGUUUAAUGUUUAUGAGUGGUUAUUGGUGGAAUAAUAGAUAUUGAAUUUACAAUGAUUAGAAAUUUGAUUGCCUUUAC